rnacentral:rRNA from 1 species
UACAGAGGCCUCGAGCGUUAGGCGGAAUCACUGGGCUUAAAGCGUGUGUAGGCGGACUUCUAAGUACCUUGUGAAAUCCCACGGCUCACCCGUGGAACUGCUCGGUAUACUGGUUGUCUUGAGCCUUCUAGGGGCGAGUGGAACAAAUGGUGGAGCGGUGAAAUGCGUAGAUAUCAGGAGGAAUACCGAUGGCGAAGGCAGGUCUCUGGGCUGACACUGACGCUCAUGCACGAAAGCGUGGGGAGCAAACAGG